rnacentral:rRNA from 1 species
GACGUAGGGCGCGAGCGUUGUCCGGAAUUAUUGGGCGUAAAGAGCUCGUAGGCGGUCUGUCGCGUCGGCUGUGAAAACCCGGGGCUCAACCCCGGGCUUGCAGUGGAUACGGGCAGGCUAGAGGCAGGCAGGGGAGAACGGAAUUCCCGGUGUAGCGGUGAAAUGCGCAGAUAUCGGGAGGAACACCGGUGGCGAAGGCGGUUCUCUGGGCCUGUACUGACGCUGAGGAGCGAAAGCGUGGGGAGCGAACAGG